rnacentral:rRNA from 1 species
UUUAAUUCGAUGCAACGCGAAGAACCUUACCUGGUCUUGACAUCCACGGAAGUUUUCAGAGAUGAGAAUGUGCCUUCGGGAAGCGUGAGACAGGUGCUGCUUGGCUGUCGUCAGCUCGUGUUGUGAAAUGUUGGGUUAAGUCCCGCAACGAGCGCAACCCUUAUCCUUUGUUGCCAGCGGUCCGGCCGGGAACUCAAAGGAGACUGCCAGUGAUAAACUGGAGGAAGGUGGGGAUGACGUCAAGUCAUCAUGGCCCUUACGACCAGGGCUACACACGUGCUACAAUGGCGCAUACAAAGAGAAGCGACCUCGCGAGAGCAAGCGGACCUCAUAAAGUGCGUCGUAGUCCGGAUUGGAGUCUGCAACUCGACUCCAUGAAGUCGGAAUCGCUAGUAAUCGUGGAUCAGAAUGCCA